rnacentral:misc_RNA from 1 species
AGAAGUUAAGGCAGUCAGAGAAGGAAAUUUUUAGAAAAAUAUCAAAGAAUAUUCACAGGACGUCCCUGAGGGGCUGUGGCGUUACGAAACCAUUAACAGAAGGAGGUUGUUCACAUUAUUUUCGUAGAUGGCUUCAAAGGAUUGGUUAGGUGUUCCUCCAACCAAGUAAUAUUAUUUUAAAUUUGAUUCAAUUGAAGAUUAUUCCAUAUACUGGGAGACCAUAAAAUCCAGGCAAUUCAGGAUUUGAGCUGCUUCCACAACCAUUGCACCUAACAUAUCAGCUUUGACAUUAAGGGCUGUUUUUUUAAGCUCAGCUACGUUCUUGGCUAAUUGAAUUGAUUAUAUAAAACUUAGGAGCUUUUUCUUGCUUCUGCAUCAUGGUUUCUCCAAGGAUCCAGUGCUUCUCUGAUUGCCUGAGCUUCAGGGGAGCUCUCCCAUGCCCGCUUCUCUGACUCCAGAACAGUCACUUUAUCAUAGAAACCGGUCUUGAUCAUGAACAACUCCAUGGAAGCUCCAAUCAAAGCAGAACCUACUGCUAUUUUCACAUACCAAUCCAGAAACUUCAUUCCCCGUAUACAGACAAUCUUCCACUUCUUCUAUUUCUUCUGUUUUUUCUUCUCUGGUGUGAUUUGUGUGACUGGUCGCUGGAAGCUCGAGGGAACCGAAUCAAAUUGUUGCUAGAGCUUCGUGUCUGACCGUCGAAUUUGUCGUCGGAUGUUAUGGGAGUUGAAGCCUGAAGCUGACUAGAAAAGAGGGAAGGGAAUGACUGAAUUAGGGUUAAUGGAAAAGGGCAUUGGGAA